rnacentral:rRNA from 1 species
GACGGACGCUGGCGGCGUGCUUAACACAUGCAAGUCGAGCGGUAACAGGUGUAGCAAUACAUGCUGACGAGCGGCGAACGGGUGAGUAAUGCAUCGGAAUCUUCCUAGUAGUGGGGAACAACCUGGGGAAACUCAGGCUAAUACCGCAUACGACCUACGGGUGAAAGCAGGGGAUCGCAAGACCUUGCGCUAUUAGAUGAGCCGAUGUCGGAUUAGCUAGUUGGUGAGGUAAAGGCUCACCAAGGCGACGAUCCGUAGCUGGUCUGAGAGGAAGACCAACCAGACUGGAAAGGAGCCACGGUCCAGACUACCACGGGAGACAGCAGUGGGGAAUAUGGGACAAGGGGGGCAACCCUGACCCAGCGACGCCGCGUGUGUGAAGAAGGCCUGCGGGUUUUAAAGCACUUGUAGUGGGGACAAAAAGCCGAGGGCUAAUACUCUUCGGUCUUGAGUUAACCCAAUGAAAAAGCACCGGCUAACUCUGUGCCAGCCGCCGCCGUAAGAC